rnacentral:rRNA from 1 species
UGGGUAACCUGCCUCAAAGAGGGGAAUAGCCUCCCGAAAGGGAGAUUAAUACCGCAUAAUAUGUUUAAGUCGCAUGACUUUAACAUCAAAGGAUUUUCUUUUAGAAAUUCCACUUUGAGAUGGACCCGCGGCGCAUUAGCUAGUUGGUGAGGUAACGGCUCACCAAGGCAACGAUGCGUAGCCG